CCAGCAGCUCGUCCCGCUGCACCGGGGCGGCGGGGGCCGGCGGCGGGCGGCCCCUCCGCAGCGCCAGCAGCGCGUACUGCACCAGCAGAGAGCGCCAGGAUCCCCUGAGGUGCUGAUGCUGGGACUCGCCAGGGGUGCGCGCUUCUCCCGGGCAGUACAAACACCCGUGUGCCCCUCAGACAAAUGCUUGAGGACACUCAGACCAGCUGGCUUUGGGAAUGUGGGACAUCAGAAAGGACUUGGGUUGCAGCGUGCUCUCCUCUCUAUCUUACACUCUCCUGCUGUUGUCACCGUACUUUCUCUGACCUCUUCUGCUGCCUCGUUGCCCCUUGUUCCUUCAGCCAUCUGCCUGCAGAGCCUGCAAACCCCAGCAUGGUCUCUUCCUUCCAGCAGAAGCAUCCCUGACAUGGAUGUCAGUAAUCCCAGGUUUUUAUACCAGUGGACUUCACUGGAGAGAUGCACGUGGCUGGGUGAGAGCCUGAGCCCUCAACUAUCAGCUCAAGCUGCUGACUACAACCAGGGCUCCAUGACACUGAAGAGCUGAAUCCAUCCCAGAUCCUGGACUGACAAGACAUUAAUAAUUUUUUAAGGGCAUAUCAAAACUGCAGAUGAAAUUUAAAGCAAAUUCUUUGUCAGCAGAAACUGACUUUCAAGGUACUUUUUCAACACAUGCAAAAUGGAAGGGAAAUGAAAGUUGUGUAUGUUGCUCCUUUGCAGCCAACACCUUGAAAAUUUUUAUUGCC